rnacentral:rRNA from 1 species
UACGGAGGGGGCUAGCGUUGUUCGGAAUUACUGGGCGUAAAGCGCGCGUAGGCGGUCCUGCAAGUCGGGGGUGAAAGCCCGAGGCUCAACCUCGGAACUGCCUUCGAUACUGCGGGUCUCGAGUCCGGGAGAGGUGAGUGGAAUUCCUAGUGUAGAGGUGAAAUUCGUAGAUAUUCGCAAGAACACCAGUGGCGAAGGCGGCUCACUGGCCCGAUACUGACGCUGAGGCACGAAAGCGUGGGGAGCAAACAGG